rnacentral:rRNA from 1 species
GGCUGCAGUAUUUUGACUGUACAAAGGUAGCAUAAUCAAUAGUCUCUUAAUUGGUGACUUGUAUGAAAGAUUGGAUGAAAUAUAAACUGUCUCUAAUUGAUUUAUAAAAAUUAAUUUUUUAGUAAAAAAGCUAAAAUAAUUUUAAAAGACGAGAAGACCCUAUAGAGUUUAAUAUUUUAUUUAAUAAUUAUUAAUAUAUAUAAUUUUAAAAAUUAAAAUUAAAUAAAUUAUUUUGUUGGGGUGAUAAAAAAAUUAAAUUAACUUUUUUUGAUUAUAAACAUUAAUUUAUGGUUAAGUGAUCCAUUUGUAGUGAUUAAAAGAAAAAAUUACCUUAGGGAUAACAGCGUAAUUUUUUUUUUUAGUUCAAAUAGGAAAAAAAGUUUGCGACCUCGAUGUUGGAUUAA